rnacentral:rRNA from 1 species
GACGAACGCCGGCGGCGUGCCUAAUACAUGCAAGUAGAACGCUGAAGAGAGGAGCUUGCUCUUCUUGGAUGAGUUGCGAACGGGUGAGUAACGCGUAGGUAACCUGCCUUGUAGCGGGGGAUAACUAUUGGAAACGAUAGCUAAUACCGCAUAACAAUGGAUGACACAUGUCAUUUAUUUGAAAGGGGCAAUUGCUCCACUACAAGAUGGACCUGCGUUGUAUUAGCUAGUAGGUGAGGUAAUGGCUCACCUAGGCGACGAUACAUAGCCGACCUGAGAGGGUGAUCGGCCACACUGGGACUGAGACACGGCCCAGACUCUUACGGGAGGCAGCAGUAGGGAAUCUUCGGCAAUGGGGGCAACCCUGACCGAGCAACGCCGCGUGAGUGAAGAAGGUUUUCGGAUCGUAAAGCUCUGUUGUAAGUCAAGAACGGGUGUGAGAGUGGAAAGUUCACACUGUGACGGUAGCUUACCAGAAAGGGACGGCUAACUACGUG